rnacentral:miRNA from 5 species
CUGCCAAUUCCAUAGGUCACAG